rnacentral:lncRNA from 1 species
GAACAAAAUAAAUCACCUUCUUAGUAAAAUGUGCUAUAUAUAAAUAGUCCGGCUACUAUACUCUUGUGAGUACGAUCGCUCUCGUACUCAUAAGUCGUUUUCGAUGAUAAAGCUUUCGAAUCUUAUGAGUACUAUACUCUUAUGAGUACUAUCCUAUUAAAUUACAAAUAUCAGGAACUUUUAAAAAAAAUGCCAAAUUUCUUAUUUCCAAUUAUACAAAAAAUUUAAUACUGAAUAAAUUAUUAGUAAAUAACUAAUUUCGACAUUGAAAU